UCUGGGAGAUGUAGGGCC
rnacentral:siRNA from 1 species